rnacentral:rRNA from 1 species
AGAGUUUGAUCCUGGCUCAGGAUGAACGCUAGCUACAGGCUUAACACAUGCAAGUCGAGGGGCAGCAUGGUCUUAGCUUGCUAAGGCCGAUGGCGACCGGCGCACGGGUGAGUAACACGUAUCCAACCUGCCUUAUACUCCCGGACAGCCUUCUGAAAGGAAGAUUAAUACGGGAUGGCAUCACGAGCCAGCAUUUUCUCGUGAUUAAAGAACUUCGGUAUAAGAUGGGGAUGCGUUCCAUUAGAUAGUAGGCGGGGUAACGGCCCACCUAGUCGACGAUGGAUAGGGGUUCUGAGAGGAAGGUCCCCCACAUUGGAACUGAGACACGGUCCAAACUCCUACGGGAGGCAGCAGUGAGGAAUAUUGGUCAAUGGGCGCGAGCCUGAACCAGCCAAGUAGCGUGAAGGAUGACUGCCCUACGGGUUGUAAACUUCUUUUAUAAAGGAAUAAAGUGAGGCACGUGUGCCUUUUUGUAUGUACUUUAUGAAUAAGGAUCGGCUAACUCCGUGCCAGCAGCCGCGGUAAUACGGAGGAUCCGAGCGUUAUCCGGAUUUAUUGGGUUUAAAGGGAGCGUAGAUGGGUUGUUAAGUCAGUUGUGAAAGUUUGCGGCUCAACCGUAAAAUUGCAGUUGAUACUGGAUAUCUUGAGUGCAGUUGAGGCAGGCGGAAUUCGUGGUGUAGCGGUGAAAUGCUUAGAUAUCACGAAGAACUCCGAUUGCGAAGGCAGCCUGCUAAGCUGCAACUGACAUUGAGGCUCGAAAGUGUGGGUAUCAAACAGGAUUAGAUACCCUGGUAGUCCACACGGUAAACGAUGAAUACUCGCUGUUUGCGAUAUACAGCAAGCGGCCAAGCGAAAGCGUUAAGUAUUCCACCUGGGGAGUACGCCGGCAACGGUGAAACUCAAAGGAAUUGACGGGGGCCCGCACAAGCGGAGGAACAUGUGGUUUAAUUCGAUGAUACGCGAGGAACCUUACCCGGGCUUAAAUUGCAGAUGAAUUACGGUGAAAGCCGUAAGCCGCAAGGCAUCUGUGAAGGUGCUGCAUGGUUGUCGUCAGCUCGUGCCGUGAGGUGUCGGCUUAAGUGCCAUAACGAGCGCAACCCUUGUUGUCAGUUACUAACAGGUCAUGCUGAGGACUCUGACAAGACUGCCAUCGUAAGAUGUGAGGAAGGUGGGGAUGACGUCAAAUCAGCACGGCCCUUACGUCCGGGGCUACACACGUGUUACAAUGGGGGGUACAGAGGGCCGCUACCACGCGAGUGGAUGCCAAUCCCCAAAACCUCUCUCAGUUCGGACUGGAGUCUGCAACCCGACUCCACGAAGCUGGAUUCGCUAGUAAUCGCGCAUCAGCCACGGCGCGGUGAAUACGUUCCCGGGCCUUGCACACACCGCCCGUCA